CUUGUGGUUAACUCAUUAACUUAGAAGCCAGAAAAGGAUGGGAUGAGAUAAUGUUUAUCCCACUUUGGUGGAAAGCUUUGCCUUUCUCCCUACUGCUUCUGCUCUGAGAUCCUGAGGUGUGUAGGCCAGUCUGGACCAGACUGAAUCACUGCUGGUUGGGAGACCAGGUGCUGCAGGAAGGGAUGCAGUCCUCUCCCCUCCAACAGAGCUGGGCAUUGGGGCAGCAUCUGAACUCCUGCCACGUCAGAUCUCCUCCUACUGGAUACGGGCGUCUUCCCUUUCUUCCCCAUCUGACCAUUAGCUAAGCCCUCACUGAGUUUCAGCAGUGGCUGAAAUGACCCAGAAGGCAGACUGUCCUAGUGCAAAGACUCAACUGGGACUCAAGCUCUGCCACUAGUCUACUUUGUGACCUCAGUACCCCUGAAGAUCCACCAGUGAAGAAUGCUAGGCAAGAUCAAGAUAUUACUCCUCCAGGCUGAGACAGUCACAAAGCUUGGCAAAAUCCCUCCUUUCAGUUCUGUAGGAUGAG